rnacentral:rRNA from 1 species
GGGACAUGAGGUCAGGGAGCCAGGGGAAGACGUAGGGGUAGUGCGGUGAGCGGAAUGUACGGGCGUAAAGGGGUGCAUGUGGGUGUUGCAAGACUGACCGUAAAGCCCCAGGCUGAACCGGGUAACGGCUUUCGUGACUGCAAGACUAGAGUGUGGCAGAGGGGGGUGGUAUUCCACGUGUAGCAGUGAAAUGCGUAGAGAUGUGGAGGAACACCGAUGGCGAAGGCAGCCCCCUGGGCUAACACUGACACUCAUGCACGAAAGCGUGGGGAGCAAACAGGAUUAGAUACCCCAGUAGUC